GUGCUCACUUUGCAGGACAUGUAUGGAAACUGAAAUGAUAUAGAAAUUAGCAUGGCCACUGUGCAAGGAUUACACCCAAAAAGAAGGGGAAAAGAUUAUA
rnacentral:snRNA from 1 species